rnacentral:rRNA from 1 species
UACGGGGGGGGCAAGCGUUGUUCGGAAUUACUGGGCGUAAAGGGCUUGUAGGUGGCCAACUAAGUCCGACGUGAAAUCCCUAGGCUUAACCUAGGAACUGCGUCGGAUACUGGAUGGCUUGAAUCCGGGAGAGGGAUGCGGAAUUCCAGGUGUAGCGGUGAAAUGCGUAGAUAUCUGGAGGAAUACCGGUGGCGAAGGCGGCAUCCUGGACCGGCAUUGACGCUGAGGAGCGAAAGCUAGGGGAGCAAACGGG